AGACGGAGGAAUAUCAACUGCGGGUCCCUCAGAACUUGGAGGAAGUGGAGGAGCAGGUGCACUUGGAGGUGACGCAGAUGUCGUUGAGGUUAUCCCUUCUGAAUGAUCAUAUGAAGUCCUGCUGGACGUUGCUUUUGUACUUUGUAAUGAUUCGGCGAUCCGUCUGGCGGCAGCAGCUGCUGCCUCAGCUCCAUUGUUUGUCGGUUCUUCGAUUGGCGGAUGCGCUGGGGCAAAACCUGAUGAAGAAGAUUUCCAUCUUGAAUCUCUAGCAGGACUUCGACUUCGAGAACGCUCUUGAAGGUGUUCUUCUUUGCGAUAAUAUCUUGAUUCUCGGGGUGCCUCAUUGCCCGACCGCUGUGAAUCUCUUCUACUAUACGAAUCCUCCGUAAACCUAGAUCGUCUAUCCCGAGAAUAAUUAUCUUCCCGUUGGGAAUUUUGUCUUGAAUCAGACAUGAAACUUAACUUUAGCUAUAUACGCAAACUGUGUGGACAUAGUAGAAGUAGUGCUUAUACGAAAAAGUCAAAGAAGGAGGUUGAACGAAGCACGUUAUAUAAUAAUUUUUUAAGACAAA